AUUGAACGCUGGCGGCAUGCUUUACACAUGCAAGUCGGACGAGUGGCGAACGGGUGAGUAACAUAUCGGAACGUACCGAGUAAUGGGGGAUAACUAAUCGAAAGAUUAGCUAAUACCGCAUAUUAUUCGAGCGGCCGAUAUCUGAUUAGCUGGUUGGUGGGGUAAAGGCCUACCAAGGCGACGAUCAGUAGCGGGUCUGAGAGGAUGAUCCGCAACACUAGGAGUGAGACACGCCCCAGACUCCAACGGGAGGAAGCAGUGGUGAAUUUUGGCCAAAGGGCGCAAGCCUGAUCCAGCCAUGCUGGGUGUCAGAAGAAGGACUUCGGGUUGUAAAGGACUUUUGUCAGGGAAGCGGUACCUGGAGAAUAAGCACCGGGUAACUACGUGCCAGCCGCCGAGGUAAUA
rnacentral:rRNA from 1 species